GUGGCGAGACAGAAAAUGACGGCGGUUAGUUUGCUGUGGAGCAGAGCUGUUCUUAUCUCAUGGAAGAUAGGAGGUGGAGACACAGAGGAAGGGGACAGGAACAAGGCUCCUGCGUUUGAACACUUGGCCUCCAGCUGGUAGCGCUUGGGAUGUGUGAUCUUACUGAAAUAGGUCACUGUAGUGGGCUUUGAGAGCUUAAAGACCAUGCCGUUUCCAGUGUCUCUUUCUGCUUUGGGCUUGUAAGACCGGAGCUAUCAACUUAUUGCUGCCAUCGCCAGCCAUGCCUGCCUGCUGCCACGGCUCCCCACUCUGAAGGGGAUGGACUCUAACCACACUGGAACUAUCCUACACCACUAAAAGGUUCAGGGCGUGGUGGCAGACCUGUAACACCAGCCCUUGGUAGAAUACAGGAGAAUCAGAAGUUCAAGGUCAUCUUCGGCUACAUAGUGAGCUCAAGUUCAGCCUGGGCUACAUGAGAACCCGUCUCAGAA